rnacentral:rRNA from 1 species
GACGAACGCUGGCGGCGUGCUUAACACAUGCAAGUCGAGCGAUGAAGUUCCUUCGGGAAUGGAUUAGCGGCGGACGGGUGAGUAACACGUGGGUAACCUGCCUCAUAGAGGGGAAUAGCCUUCCGAAAGGAAGAUUAAUACCGCAUAAGAUUGUAGUACCGCAUGGUAUAGCAAUUAAAGGAGCAAUCCGCUAUGAGAUGGACCCGCGUCGCAUUAGCUAGUUGGUGAGGUAACGGCUCACCAAGGCGACAAUGCGUAGCCGACCUGAGAGGGUGAUCGGCCACAUUGGGACUGAGACACGGCCCAGACUCCUACGGGAGGCAGCAGUGGGGAAUAUUGCACAAUGGGGGAAACCCUGAUGCAGCAACGCCGCGUGAGUGAUGACGGUCUUCGGAUUGUAAAACUCUGUCUUCAGGGACGAUAAUGACGGUACCUGAGGAGGAAGCCACGGCUAACUACGUGCCAGCAGCCGCAGUAAAAC